rnacentral:tRNA from 1 species
GUGGGUGUAGCUCAGUGGUAGAGUGCCUGCUUAGCAUGCACAAGGUCCUGGGUUCAAUCCCCAGUACCUCCA